rnacentral:rRNA from 1 species
GUCCACACCGUAAACGUUGGGCGCUAGGUGUGGGACUCAUUCCACGAGUUCCGUGCCGCAGCUAACGCAUUAAGCGCCCCGCCUGGGGAGUACGGCCGCAAGGCUAAAACUCAAAGGAAUUGACGGGGGCCCCGCACAAGCGGCGGAGCAUGCGGAUUAAUUCGAUGCAACGCGAAGAACCUUACCUGGGUUUGACAUAUACCGGAAAGCCAUAGAGAUAUGGCCCCUUUUAGUCGGUAUACAGGUGGUGCAUGGCUGUCGU